rnacentral:rRNA from 1 species
GACGAACGCUGGCGGCGUGCCUAAUACAUGCAAGUCGAACGAACCGCGACUGAGUGCUUGCACUUGGUCAAGGUGAGUGGCGAACGGGUGAGUAACACGUGGGUAACCUACCUCAUAGUGGGGGAUAACAGUCGGAAACGACUGCUAAUACCGCAUAGGACAUAGAAUCACAUGAUUCUGAGGAAAGGUGGCGCAAGCUAUCGCUAAGAGAUGGACCCGCGGUGCAUUAGCUAGUUGGUAGGGUAACGGCCUACCAAGGCGAUGAUGCAUAGCCGACCUGAGAGGGUGAUCGGCCACAUUGGGACUGAGACACGGCCCAAACUCCUACGGGAGGCAGCAGUAGGGAAUCUUCCGCAAUGGACGCAAGUCUGACGGAGCAACGCCGCGUGAGUGAAGAAGGUCUUCGGAUCGUAAAGCUCUGUUGUUAGAGAAGAACAGCGCAUAGAGUAACUGCUAUGCGUGUGACGGUAUCUAACCAGAAAGCCACGG